AAAGGUGCAUGACAACUCUGAGCAAGUCAAAACAACCGUCAGCAGCGGGAAACCUCGAUGAACAAACACCGGGAGAGUGCAUUCCCAGGGGAGUUCCAGGAGGCCCAUGGCCCCUCCUGUACAGCCCUCCACCGCCCAGAGCCUUCCAGCGCCGUGUCUUCCCCUUGGAGCAUCUGGAGGCCCCAGACAGCACCCGCCUGACGUUCAGCAGAGGGGGAGACCGAGGCCUGCAGCAGAGUGUUUUGUCAGAUGCUGCUCCCUGACCGGGAGUGAGAGGGAACCCACCUAGAGGUGCCAGAUGGGGUGCCAGGGCAGCGUGGCCUGCAGGCCCCUCAGCUCCUCACAGCCCCUGCCCCCAGCCUUCCUGGGCCCAGAGAUCCCCUUGUUUACCCUAGUCCAGGGACAGAGGCUCAGAUGUCAUGCUUGACCCCACAGGUACAGGGUUAGGGGUGAAGGUGGCUGUCUCUUCAUGUCUUCACCAUGGCUUCUCUGCCUUCCUCCUGCUCCUGGUGGCUUAUGUCCUGCCGCUCUUGAUACGCGACUGUGGUCUGUCCUGGGAUGGUUAUGAUGCAUAUGUGCUAUUGUUGUGAACUGUAACAUUGAGGUCUGUUUCUGCAGAUCCUGCUUUGUGACUUCGAGUGAAGUGUGGAAGCGCUGGAAGCACUUAGACCCUGCCUGUGCCGCAGACCCCUGGGAGGCACCAACACCCCGGAUCGAGAAGCCCGAUGGGAAAGAAUGUCUGGGAAGGACGUCAUGCCCGAGGCUUGCGUGACAGUUUCCACUCACAGUGCGCUCACUCUGAACCUCUGUGCACACGAUGGGCCUGCAUCUCUUCCCACUAUCUGCUAGGAAACACGAGGAAUCAUGGGAUUUGCCGCAGUUUGCACCCAGGCCUGUGCGGAUGCCCCCCGACUGCCCGAGAUGCUGCACCUGCCACUGCUGGGGGUGUACCUGCCUAUGCCCACUCACAGGGGCACCUCCAGGGUAGCUGCCUGGUGCAGGCAUUGGCUCUAAGCAGAGCAGCACUAUGGGCCCAUCUGGGGCUGGCUCUUGCCUGGGCCUGUGAGCACCAUCACAGCCAGCCGAUCUGGGAGUAUCCAGGGUGUUCUUGUCAUUGCGGACACUGAAUAGCCAUUGGUGGGUGGCGAUGGGGGCUUGGAAGCCGAGCAUCAGUGGCAAUGAGAAGCAGGCCCUGUGGUUUAAUUCCGAAGCACAUGAACCCACAGAGCCGCCAACAGUCGUUAUUCGGCAGGAGGGGGUACAGAGACAGCAGCCUGCGGAGCGUUCUAGGCAGGACAGGGCAGCAAACCUGACAUGCGGAGCUGGGGGCAGGGGUAAUGGGGCCAGGGGGUAAUGGCAGGUGAGGCCAUGGCCUAGAGGGUUGCCAUGCUUGGUGCAGGGGAGGAGAGGCCCAGGUGUGGCUGCAGUGGCAGCAGGAGUCAGUGUGGCUGUGCCCAGUGGGAUGUUGUCAGAGAAUGGACCUGGCUGCUGGGAAAGGUGAUUGUGUUUGUCUGAGCCACACUGGACUCUUCUCUGACCAGCAAGCACAUUCUGGAGAUGCGGGGCAGAGACGAGGCCUCCGUGAGAACCUUUGAGGUGUGAGGGCCUUGAUCUGGGGUGCAGCCUCCAGCUUUCUGCUUACAGAGCAGGACCUGCAGGAGCUCGCUGACUGCCUGCACAGUGGAAGGAAGACCUGUUUCUUUUACUUUCCUUGAGGAGAAAAAAUUAAAGUUCUGAGCAAACGCAUGGCAAGGGAGCUCUUGCUUUCCUCUCUUGGAGUUCUAGGCGGCUGGCGCUAGUGGCACGUGGAACUGGUCACGCACACUGGGUCUCGAGGCCGUCUCCUCUUCUGUAAGUUGAAAGGUUGGUGAGAACAGAGGUGUGGUGUGCUCUGACAGUGGCUGGUUGCCUUGUUAGUGCCUGUGCUGCCGGCCUGCCACGCCUCCAGCUCUUUUAGAGGAAUGGCCUACCUUUCAAAGAGGAAGUGCCACAGACCAGUCUAGUUCCCUGGAGCCACAUUCCCACAUGGCGAAGGUGGGAAGCCACUGCGUUAUGACUCUGUGCGUUCACCACCAUCUCCACCCCGCGUCAUCCCUCGUGGCGUACGUCCCUGCCUGGCCUCCCCAGGCACUGGAGCUGGCACUUCUUGUCUAGGUAUCUCAGGCCUGGCGAAGCUCCUCGGCUCCGGCCUGAGCGACGACCUGCAAGCACAGACUGGGCGCUGAGCCCCUGCCUGAGCUGAGUCAGGGCCGGAGAGCCGGCCGAGUGGCAUGCUCCCGAGAGCACAGCUGGCUGUGCAGUCAGGGCCUUGGUGGACACGCUGUCCACCUGGCAUGGACAUGGGGACAUGAGGGGCAAUGCGGGCACAUGCAAGAGCAUUCCCAGAACAAAUGCAUGGUCGUCCCCCAACCCCCUCCCUCGGAGUCCAGCUGCUGCCAAAUGUCCCUUAAAACCCUGGGUGGGAUGCCAGCAAGAGCCCCGGGAAGCUUGAUGAUGAGACUCCCAGCCUCGCCUCCCGGCAGUCUCCCCCGCCGUGGCAGGCCUGGGCUGGCCCUGGCAUCUGUCCAGGCCCCUCGGUGACUCUAACCUUGGCCAGGUUUGGGGACCACAGGGGACUCUGGGGCCCUCUUUGCUUGGUGACUUGGAGUUCUGGCCUGGCACCCCCAAGACAGCAAAGGGCCUGGCCCUUCCGGUGUCAUUGCUCUCCUGGGUCCCAAGCUUGCGUGUCCCCGCGGGCCAGGGCAGGGCUGCAUGCCACAGAAGUCACCGUUUCAUAGAAGGGAAGACUAGGAAGUCAGCUGCACCCAGGUCAAGUGGGUCUGUGCGAGUGGACGUCCCUCCUCUUGCUGUCUGCGUGGGUCACAUUGACCAGAGUUUGUUAAGCCCGGGCCAGAGGAGGCUCACUCCCUAGGCUGGGAAUGAGUUUGGUGUGGCUUCACACACACCGCACUCACACACACACCCUCUACUCCACACGGUGAUAAGUGAGUGGCUGGAGCAAGCCGCAAGGAGCUUUUGAGCGCACACCAGAGCUGCUUCUGCUACCUCCAGGCCUCUGAUGGCUGCGGCUGCAGACACAGCCAGCCUCGCAGCAUGUAAGAGUGGGCAAGGAUGACACACGGGCACAGAGAGACCAGGCUGGGCUUCAGGAAGCAGGUCUGCGUGGGAUGGAAGUGCUUAGAAAGUCAUUUCUGGAAGGCCGACACCAGUCGGCACUCCCUGAGCGAAAGGACUUGGGAACACGUGGAUGCACUUCUUGUAUCUCCAAGGAAAUGCUCCCUGAGGAUUUGCGACGUGGAAAUGCAACGGGCUGUGGAGUGCUGCGCACCCCGCACCUCGAGCAGUGGUUUAGCUCAGCUCGGGGUUUGUGGCUUCAGGGGGUCAUAGUCCACAGGAGUGCCAGGGGGUUGGGCGGGUGGGACAGAGGAGGCGAGAAGUGGUUGCGGACACUCUGCAUGAGCAGGACACGCACACACCACACACACACAUACCCCACACACAUAUACACACCACACACCCCAUAUACACACAAGUACACACACGAACAUACCACACACCCCAUAUACACACAAGUACACACAUGAACACACCACACACACACACAAUACGGCUCUGCAAGGAAACGUGUGAGGGGUGUGGUGUGUGUGCACUGUGUGUGAGGUGUGUGGUGUGUGUGAAAUGUAUGUGUGAGGUAUACAGUAUGUGUGUGAGGUAGUGUGCGAUGUGUGUGUAGUGUAUGUGGUUGUGUGAGGUAUGUGGGGUGUGAGGAAUGUAUUGUGUAUGUGUGAUAUAUACUGAUUGUGUGUAAGGGAUGUGGAGUGUGUGGCAUGUGUGUAAGGUAGGUGUGUGUUGUGUAUAUGUGAGCUGUAUAGUGUCGGGGGGGUGUGAGGUAUGUGGUGUAUGUUAUGUUUGAGAUCUAGUGUGUGUGUAUGGUGUGUGUGGGAGGUAUGUGGGGUGUGUGGUGUGUGGUGUGUAUGAGGUAUGUAGUGUGAGGUGUGUGAUGUGUAGNNNNNNNNNNGGUGUGUGGUGUGGGUGGUGUGUGUGGUGUGUGUGGUUUGUGGUGUGUGUGGUUUGUGGUGUGUGGUAUGUGGUGUGUUGUGUGUGGUUUGUGGUAUGGUGUGUGUGGUAUGGUUGUGUGUGGUGUGGUGUGUGCUGUGUGUAUGGUUUGUGGUGUGUGUGGUGUGUGUGGGUGUGGUGUGUGUGGUGUGUGUGUGGUGUAAGUGUGGUGUGUGUGGUGUGUGUGUGUGGUGUGUGGUGUGUGUGGUGUGUGGUGCGUGUGUGUGGUGUGUGGUGUGUGUGGUGUGUUUGGUGUGUGUGUGGUGUGUGGUGUGUAUGUGGUGUGUGGUGUGUGUGGUGUGUGUGUGUGGUGUGCUGUGUAAUGUGUGGUGUGUGGUUUGUGGUGUGGUGUGUGUGGUGUGUGGGUGUGUGGUGUGUGGUUUGUGGUGUGGUGUGUGUGGUGUGUGGGUGUGUGGUGUGUGGUUUGUGGUGUGGUGUGUGUGGAUUGUGGCCCCCAUCCCCAUCCUUGCGGAAGGGCUCAGACCCCGGCCCCUGUGCAUUUACUCUCUAG
rnacentral:lncRNA from 1 species